rnacentral:rRNA from 1 species
GACGAACGCUGGCGGCGUGCUUAACACAUGCAAGUCGAACGGAAAGGCUCCAGCUUGCUGGAGUACUCGAGUGGCGAAAGGGUGAGUAACACGUGGGUAAUCUGCCCUGCACUCUGGGAUAAGCCUUGGAAACUGGGUCUAAUACUGGAUAUGACCUUUCUCCUUAUGGGGUUUGGUGGAAAGUUUUUCGGUGUAGGUUGAGCCCGCGGCAUAUCAGCUUGUUGGUGGGGUGAUGGCCUACCAAGGCGACGACGGGUAGCCAGCCUGAGAGGGUGAUCGGCCACAUUGGGACUGAGGUACGGCCCAGACUCCUACGGGAGGCAGCAGUGAGGAAUAUUGCACAAUGGGCGGAAGCCGGAUGCAGCGACGCCGCGUGAGGGAUGACGGCCUUCGGGUUGUAAACCUCUUUCAGCAGGGACGAAGCGUAAGUGACGGUACCUGCAGAAGAAGCACCGGCUAACUAUGUG